AGAAAGAACAAAGCCGGCAAUAUAACAGGGGUACCAGAUUACGUAAAUUUGCACCGGGAGAGAAAGUGCUCGUAUUGCUCAGCUCUAAAUUACUCGUGGUAAUUUACCACUCAAUUAUGAGGUGGUGCGGUCAGACAGGAGCGCAUCAAAUAUACCACCUCAACCUCCUGAAAAUGUAGAGUGUGGAGUGAGGCGGACGCAGUGAUGUUGGCGACGGCGGUGAGUAGAGAGGAGGAUCUCGGGCCAAAAGUGGGCGCGAAAAAUGGAGGUGGAGAUCACCUCUCGCCCUCCCAGAUCACUGACGUUGCCAGGUUGCAAGCGGAUCGCAGAUGUGUUCUCGCCCCUGCCUGGCCGGACUAAUCUCAUACAGCACCAUAUUGAGACCACGUAGCCGGCCGUAUAGUUUACCUGAACACAAGAAAAAAGUGGUUCAGGCAGAAUUAAUCGCCAUGCUCGAUAUGGGAAUAAUAGAAGAGUCCAGCAGUGAUUGGACGAGCCCGAUAGUUUUGGUACCUAAAACGGACGGCUCUGUACGGUUCUGCGUGGACUAUCGCAUGGUGAAUGCUGUGUCGAAGUUCGACGCAUAUCCAAUGCCACGGAUUGACGAACUGCUAUAUCGGCUCGGUUCGGCUCGCUUUUAUUUGACACUGGAUUUAACGAAGGGAUAUUGGCAGAUCCCCUUAUCUCCUCUAUCUUGCAGUCUGCAGCGGGAGACAGAGGCGGGAAACGGACGGGACGCAAGUAGGUCAUGUGCACAUUAUGAACACCUGUGUCUCGUUCCAGUGAUUGGUGGGGAGACGGUAAAAGCCACCUGGAGGAGACGAACAGGAGAGAGAGAACGGCUGAGAACUCGGGACUAUUGAGAGGAUCUUCGAGAGCGAACACGAAAUCCAUUCUGAGUUAUUGUUGAGUGAUAGCGCUUGCCGCGUGUUUUGUUGAUUUCAUAAUAAUAAAUUCUCAGAGUCCCAGCCACGCCGACCCUGUCUCUUUCCUUCAUUAUAUUGAACUCUGUUAUAAAGAUAUUUUGAGAAAUGUCUCAGUGGUUUUGUGUACAUUAAAUGGAAGUCAAUGGGGGUCAACAUUGUUCGGUUACCAACAUUCUUUAAAAUAUCUUCUUUUGUGUUCUACAGAAGAAAGUCACACAGGUUUGAGGAUGAGUAAAAGAUGACAGAAUUUUCAUUUUUGGGUGAACUAUUCCUUAAAAGCUUCAGUUUGAUGGUUACACAGGCAGAAAGAUAGCUAAUGUUGGUCCUGCUCUUGCUGUAUCAAAUGUAAAAAUGUUCUUAUUAGCUCUUGUUGCGGUCGCCAUGAAUAGAUGUGGCCAAAAAAAAGAGUCUGAUGACUAGCCACACAGUGGUUAAUGUGCAUGUUUAAUAUAAAAGCUUACGCAGAAGUGAAACACAGACAGGAAACUCAUCACUGGUCUGUAAGUGUGUGUGUGUGUGUGUGUGUGUGUGUGUGUGUGUGUGUGUGUGUGUGUGUGCACCUGCAGCUUCUGUUGUAAAAUUACCACUUCUCAAAAACCACUUCUCUCACAUAGAGACAUUUACACCUCUCCAGACAACAGAAUCUCAACACUGAAAAGAACAAUGAGAACUGCCAGGACAGUGUGUUUUGUGUGCUUUGUUUUAUUCUUUGGAACCAGGCAUGCUGAAAGCAACUCGACUGACGCACCAUUGAACAAAACAGAAACUAAACAAACUACAGCGAUCCAAAAUACUUCCAUUGAAAAAUCAUCAACACCACGUGAAACAACACAACCAAAUGGAUCAAAUCGAGAUUGUGUAUGCACUCCGUCCACUACCGAAACCCCAAAAGGAGACUGCAUUUUCUUUCUGCCAGAUGGGAUUCAUCCUAAGUUGAUUCUGGUUUUGGUUGCUCUGGCGGUGGCUUGCUUUAUUUUGCUUCUGACCACGCUGAUAUGUGCCUGCCAGCUUUGUCACAUGAAUGUAAUGAUCUCCAGGUUCCAGCCUCAUCACAGCAACAUAGACCUGCAAGCCAUGAGAAAGAGAAGCGAAUCCCCAUGCAGAGAUGACAGCCGACCAGUAGGGGAACCAACUGAGACCUGCCUCAUGUUAUCAGAGGUCUCAACACAGGAGGCGGAAAACAAAGAGGAGAGCGUUCAACCCAACACCGAGCCGUAUGUGGAAGGUCCAAACGGCGAGGUCGCUCAGGAGAGCGGGAACGGUUGCGAAGCUGAGAGUAAGGAGCCUGAUGUAGAAGCACCAGAGAGCUCGGCCAUAGAGGUGUGAUCAGCACAACACGCUUGAACAAACUGGUGUCACACAGCUCCCCCUGGUGGCAUUUAAAGUCUAUUGCAGCUUAAGCUUGAUUUACAGCUUUUGAACGGUUGUAGGUCUUAAAACACCAGACUCAAGGGGAAGGGAUUUAAUUCAUGAGAAUGAUUUUAAGACUGCUUAUUAAGUUACGCGAUCUAAGACCAAAAUUCCAGCCAUGAAAAUAUAAAAAUAAGCUUUCAACAUUGCAUUUAGUAUCCACAACUUUACUGUAUGACCUUGUUUAAAAUGUGCGCAUUCAUGCUGUUUGUGCUUUUUAUUUUAAAUCUUUGUUUAUGCUUUUUAACAUUUAAGUUUCUGGACAAUAAAAUGUGUCUUCUUCUACCCAUUA